rnacentral:rRNA from 1 species
GAUGAACGCUGGCGGCGUGCCUAAUACAUGCAAGUCGAACGCUUCACUUCGGUGAAGAGUGGCGAACGGGUGAGUAAUACAUAAGUAACCUGGCAUCUACAGGGGGAUAACUGAUGGAAACGUCAGCUAAGACCGCAUAGGUGUAGAGAUCGCAUGAACUCUAUAUGAAAAGUGCUACGGGACUGGUAGAUGAUGGACUUAUGGCGCAUUAGCUUGUUGGUAGGGUAACGGCCUACCAAGGCGACGAUGCGUAGCCGACCUGAGAGGGUGACCGGCCACACUGGGACUGAGACACGGCCCAGACUCCUACGGGAGGCAGCAGUAGGGAAUUUUCGGCAAUGGGGGAAACCCUGACCGAGCAACGCCGCGUGAAGGAAGAAGUAAUUCGUUAUGUAAACUUCUGUCAUAGAGGAAGAACGGUGGAUAUAGGGAAUGAUAUCCAAGUGGCGGUACUCUAUAAGAAAGCCACGGCUAACUACGUG